rnacentral:tRNA from 1 species
CCGAGGCGGCGCGGAGGUGGCGGAGCGGGUGUUCGCGCCGCUCGGCUGGGCGGUGACCGCCACUGCCCUGCCGUUGGAUCCGGCGUUCCCGGA